rnacentral:rRNA from 1 species
GACAGAGGGUGCUAGCGUUGUUCGGAAUUACUGGGCGUAAAGGGCGCGUAGGCGGUCCGCUAAGUUCGGCGUGAAAUCCCCUGGCUCAACUGGGGAACUGCGCUGGAUACUGGUGGACUCGAGUACCGGAGAGGAGAGUGGAAUUCCUGGUGUAGCGGUGAAAUGCGUAGAUAUCAGGAGGAACACCGGUGGCGAAGGCGGCUCUCUGGACGGAUACUGACGCUGAGGCGCGAAAGCGUGGGGAGCAAACAGG